rnacentral:rRNA from 1 species
AUUGAACGCUGGCGGCAUGCUUUACACAUGCAAGUCGAACGGUAACAGGUCUUCGGAUGCUGACGAGUGGCGAACGGGUGAGUAAUGCAUCGGAACGUGCCCAGUCGUGGGGGAUAACGCAGCGAAAGCUGUGCUAAUACCGCAUACGAUCUAUGGAUGAAAGCGGGGGACCGUAAGGCCUCGCGCGAUUGGAGCGGCCGAUGUCAGAUUAGGUAGUUGGUGGGGUAAAGGCCCACCAAGCCAACGAUCUGUAGCUGGUCUGAGAGGACGACCAGCCACACUGGGACUGAGACACGGCCCAGACUCCUACGGGAGGCAGCAGUGGGGAAUUUUGGACAAUGGGCGCAAGCCUGAUCCAGCAAUGCCGCGUGCAGGAAGAAGGCCUUCGGGUUGUAAACUGCUUUUGUACGGAACGAAACGGUCUGGGUUAAUACCCUGGGCUAAUGACGGUACCGUAAGAAUAAGCACCGGCUAACUACGUGCCAGCCGCCGCGGUAAGAC